rnacentral:rRNA from 1 species
UACGUAGGUGGCGAGCGUUGUCCGGAUUUAUUGGGUUUAAAGGGUGCGUAGGCGGUCCUAUAAGUCAGUGGUGAAAUAUCGCAGCUCAACUGUGAGGGUACCAUUGAUACUGUAGGACUUGAGUGAAUUUGAGGUAGGCGGAAUUGACGGUGUAGCGGUGAAAUGCUUAGAUAUCGUCAAGAACACCGAUAGUGAAGACAGCUUACCAAGCUUCAACUGACGCUGAGGCACGAAAGUGUGGGGAUCAAACAGG